UUUCCAUCUUGCAGGUUUGUCU
rnacentral:snRNA from 1 species